CGGGUUCGGGUCUUAUCAACACUAUUAAAGACUUUUCAACCAUUCUAUGUUACCAAGGUUACCAAAUAUAAAAAUAAACAGGUUUAGAGAAGCUUUAAGGAAACACAUUUAAAAAUGUUUUUACUCUAAAUUUAUGAUAAAAUUUUAGAAUCACGACUUAAAUAAAAUGAUUCAUUAGGACGAAACAGGGGAAAUAUAAAUCAAUCUGCAGAUGAAAGUGCUGACGAAUCCGCCGGCUUCAGCUGAAAUGCAGAACCGGACCUGUUUGGGCUCGGGGCUGCUCUUCCUCCUCCUCCUCCUCCUCCUCCGCCGGCUGUUUUGGACUGCUCUGCCAGGAUAAACGGAUGAGUUCGCGGCCACCUCUCAACCCGGCUGGAGCCGACGCACAGGAGCUGCGAGAAACGCCCCCCAGGUCACAUGGCUGCUGGGUCUUUGCAAACACAAACUGAGCUGAGAUCUCAGAGGAGGGGUUGGAAAAGGAGAAGAAAUGAAAAUUUUCAACACAUUCUUGUGGUAUUUUUCCAAUAAUGGAGGACUAAAGAAAAUGAAGAUUA